rnacentral:lncRNA from 10 species
GUUUUGUUUUGCUACAUGGUAUUUCAUACACUGACAAGCCAAGAAUGCCAAAUCACCAUUUCAUUGGUGCUGUCAUAUACAGGUGACAAACGAGAUUCUACCCAUGUCAGCAGACUGGAGAUUGCAGUUCUUCAAACCUGAGUGUUAGGUGUCUCAGAGCAGUAUGGAUUGCAGACAAAGAUUUUACUGAAACUUGAGAUCUGAAUUAAAAACCAGCCUUAGAAGUUAAUUUACAACUCUAAAGAUAAUGAGAACUUCAGAGAGGCUCACCCACCUCCUGAGUUAUGCAUGGACAUUUUGAGGGAGGUGGCAGGGGGUGCAAUACUGAGGCCCAGGACCAUGGAGGCAUCUCUUAAUUGUGAAACUGAAGACAUAGGACUUACCAUGUUUCCAAAACAGACUUUCUCAGAAGGGAGAAGAGAGACAGUUGCCUUACUCCCCACUAUAAGCAGAUACAAUUCAUAUUUUUCCAUUCCUUGAUUACCAUAUAGACUUGGUGUGUUUAAGAUAUUUGACCUGGCUUUCAUCACAAUGGCCCUGGCAUAAGAACGAAAGCACGGGGGAAUCACAUGCUUGUUUUUUGCUGUAAAUCAUAAAAAAAUCUGUCUCUGGUCCAAAAACUUUGUGGGUGCAUUUAGGACAGAAUCAAUAAAGAUGAAUAUUAA